AGCACAUAUAUCUCAUUAAUCUCUCAAAACAUCCUCUCCAAAGGCUUCAACAAAUUGGGAGAUCCUUCUUUUCUCGGUUCAGCAACAAUGGUUGCAAUUCAGCACAACCCCCCCCCCCCUUUGUGAAGAAGUACCACGCUAUAACGCACCCCGAGAGUCUUCAGAUUCCUCUGCAAUGGGUUAGGAGUUAUGGACGGAAUAUGCCUUAUCAAUGCUUCCUUGUGAUGCCACAUGGCAGGAAAUGGGAUGUGAGGUUGCUCAAUGUGGAAAACGGAUGCUACUUCCGUGCUGGUUGGUCUUCAUUCGCGAAUGCAAACAACAUCAACACUGAGGAUACCCUCAUCUUCAUGCAUAUCAGAGAUGGUGUUUUCCAAGUCAUCCGAACUUGCUCAUUGACUAGCUGCCCUCCCUUGUAUGACUACGAUGGGGCAUUCUGGCCCAUACCCGAGAGCGACGUAGUGCCGGAUCUAGAUACAAGUGACGACUAUGACUCAUCUAAAGCCGACUUUGUUGCUUCUAGCGAUGAAGAGGACGACAUAUUGCCUAUAGAAUAUGCCGUGGAUGAACACCUUUCGUUCACAAUUACCUUCAAUGAAACAACAAUUACUAAAACAUUGGAGCUACCAAUCAGGUUUUGGAAAAAAUUCAUUCGUGAAGGUGAUAUGGAAAAUGAGACCUAUUUCACAGUUGGUAGAAGAACCUGGGAAAUGCGCAUAGCAAAGCGGAAUGGUAGAAUCCGGGUGAAGCGUGGUUGGAGCCACUUCAAACAAGUUAACAGACUCCAGAAAGGAAUGACUUGUUCUUUCUAUCUAGUGGACACGGAGGAGGUUCACUUCUAUGUCAUAAUUCAGCCAUAACCAACGUCGGCAAACGGGAAGAGAAGCUGUUAUUGUGAAGACACCAGGUGAGCCUAUGAAUCAUGACUGCUCUGCAACUUGUAAUCAUGCAACACUAGGGCAGAAAGUAUACAAAGAAACAUGGAAGGGGUAGAAUAAGUGCAAAAUGGGGAUAAGAGAAGAAAAAAAUAGAAAAAGAAGGAAAAAAAAGAGGAAAGAUCUGUGGAAAAAAAUAAAAGUAAAGAAAAAUUGGUGGAAAAAAAUAGCAAGAAUAAGAUGUUGGAGGAAGUGACGGGGAGCUUCGUGAUGGAGUAAUGGGAGGGAAAGACGAAGAUUUGGUGAGGCUUCAACUUGAAGCACUCUGGAAGAGAAAUCAAGACCAGAAAACGAGAAUGCAAACUUGACUAGGGAAAACCAGGACCAGCAUAAACUAGUGGGGUACCCUCGUUCAACAGAUCCAAAACGCAUGAAAAGAAGGCUACAAAAUCUUCUUUCAGGGGAAAGUCCCAAGUAGUGCAGGAUGAACUUUCCAGGCUUGGUGAAAAGUUGAUUCAUAGUUCUGAGGGUACAAGAGCUUUAGCUCGGAAACUUUGCCGUGAACUUGACGAUAAAUUCCUCCAGCAUGGUCUGAACUCAGGGAAUGGCAGAAGAAGACAUGCUAUUUAAGCUAUACAGUUCUAGAAGUGCUCAAAGCAUGGCAAGAAUAGAAGAGCUUCUCGGAGAACCAGAAUGUCAAGCGAAGGAAAGAGCGUAUCCAGAAACAGUCCUCUAUUGUUUCCAAGCUUACUAGACAACUCUGUAUUCAUGAUAAUCUGGCAGCCGCUGCAUCCACCUAUUCUAAUGCAGAAAGUCCAACCACUGCUGGCCAAUAUUCCGGGCAGGAUGGAGAUCUGCGUUUGAUGCUGCUGCCAACGGUCCAAGCCUAAUUGUUUGCCGACCUGUUCCUCCAUCAUCUGGCUCUGUUUAUAUAUUCCAAGUAGAAAGUUCAUCCGUCGCUGGCCCAUCUUCCCGGGAGGUCUGGAGAUGCUGCGUUUGAUGCUACUGCCAGCGGUCCAAACCCAUCAUAUAUGUGGAUUUUAGAUCAAAUGGUCAGUGAUCCUUUUCAAAAUGGUAAUAUAAACCCUGCCUGCCGACGAACACCCUUGCGUUUGCCACCUGCUCCUCCAUCAUCUGCCUCUGUUUAUACAUUCUAAGGUGAAAAAAUACAUAAUUCUGCAAUUUAAUUGAACUUUUCUAAUUGCUUGCUGACCUAGAGAUUGGCAAUGCAUGAAGAAAGAGGGGUGGACUUGGAUCGCCCAUAUGAGAUGGAGGACAAAGGCAUUGGAGCUAUAAUUUGCUGUACACCGGGUCGAAAGGAUUCUGAGAAUGCCCAUAUAUACCACUCAGAGCUGUUUACAUUAACAAAGAAAAUGGCCAAAGGGGAGCCUUAGAAGCUCUACUUCACUGUUCCAAUAUUUCAGCCACAUCCCUAGUACUUAAUCCCUACUAUGUCCUUCCAGAACCUCAUACUCCCUAAGGCUCAUACAACUCUUAUGGAACUCCUUGACUUGAAACCACUUCCCGUGACUGCACUUGCAAAUGGAACUUAUGAAGAAUUGUACAGAUUCACACAUUUUAACCCCAUACAGACGGAGGCUUUUGAUGUAUUGUAUCACACAGACCGAAUUGGGAGAAAAGAAGAAAAAAAAGAAGAAAAAAAGAAAAAAAAGAAAAAGAAGAAUGAAAAAAAAAAAGAUGAGACAAAUAUGUGGGAAAAAAAAUAAAAGAAAAGAAAAAAAAUGGUGGAACAAAUCUAGAAAAAGGAAAAAAAACAGAGAGCAGAAUCAAAGGAAGAUUUCCAAGAAAAUGUGAAAAAGAAAUAGCCAGAGGAGGAAGAAACGGGGAGCUUCAUGAUGGAGUAAUGGGAGGAAAACACGAAGGUUUGGUGAGGCUUCAACUUGAAGCACUUCUGGAAGAGAAAUCGAGACCUGAAAAUGAGAAUUCAAACUUGAAUAAGGAAAACAAGUACCUGCAUCAACUAGUGGAGUACCCUCGCUCAACAGAUCCGAAAUUGCAUGGAAAUUAGGCUGCCAAAUCUUCUUUCAGGACUCCAGGGUAGGAUGAACUUUUCAGGCUUGGUGAACAGAUGGUUCAUAGUUCCGAGGGUAAAAGAGCUUUAGCUCGGGUACUUUUCCAUGAACUUCACGACAAGUUCCUCCAGCAUGGUCUCAACUCAGGGAUUGGACAAAGAAGACAUUCUAUUUAAGCUAUACAGUUCUAUAAGUGCUCAAAGCAUGGCAAGAAUAGAAGAGCUUCUCCAGGAGGACCAGAAUGUCAAGUGGAGGAAAGAGUGUAUCCAGAAACAGUCCUCUAUUCUCUCCAAGCUUACUACACAACUCUGUAUUAAUGAUAAUCUGGCAGCCACUGCAGCCACCUAUUCUAAUGAAGUAGAAACUUCAACCAUUGCUGGCCCAUCUUCCCGGGAGGUCUGGAGAUGCUACGUUUGAUGCUGCUGCCAGCGGUCCAAACCCAUUAUAUGGGGAUUCUAGAUCAAAUGGCCCCAGUUGUCGGAACAGUGAUCCUUUUCAAAAUGGUGAUAUAAACACUGGCUGCCGACGAACACCCUAGCGUUUGCCACCUGCUCCUCCAUCAUCUGCAUCUGUUUAUGUAUUCUAAGGUUUAUUUGACCAUAAAACUAGAGAAAAUGGCCAAGGGGGAUGCUCAGAAGCUCUACUUCACUGUUCCAAUAUUUGAGCCACAUCCUCCCUAGUACUUUAUCCACGCAAUUUCAGAUUCAUGGAUGCAUUCAGAGUGUUUCUAUACUAUGUCCUUCCGGAACCUCAUGCUCCCCGAGGCUCAUACAGCUCAUAUGGAACUCCUUGACCUGAAACCACUUCCCGUGACUGCACUUGCAAAUGGAACUUAUGAAGAAUUGUACAGAUACAUACAUUUUAACCCCAUACAGAUGAAGGCUUUUGAUGUGCUAUAUCACACGGACCAAAAUGGGGAGAAAAGAAGAAAAAAUCAAAAAAAGAAGUAAAAAAGAAAAAGAAGAAAAAAAAGAGAGGAGACAGAUCUGGGAAAAAAAAGAAAAGAAAAGAAAAAAUUGGUGGAACUGAUCUAGAAAAAGGAAAAAUCAGAGCAGAAUUAAAGAAAGAGUUCCAAGACCAGAAUAAGGUGUUGGAGGAAGAGAUGGGGAGCUUCGUGAUGGAGUAAUGAGAGUAAAAGACGACGAUGCACUUCUGGAAUUGAAAUCAAGAUCGGAGGAUGAGAAUGACGAAUCUUCUUUCAGGGCUCCAGGGCAAGCCCCAAGUAGCAUAUUGAAUAUGCUAGACUAUGAUUGUAAUCUGGCAACACUAUGGCAGAAAGAAUAGAAAGAAACAUGGUAAGGGGUAGAAUAAGAGCAAAAUGGGGAGAAAAGUAGAAAAAAACAUAAAAAGAAAAAAAAACAGAAAAAUGAAGAAAAAAGAGAGAAGGCGGAUAUGUGAUUUUUUUUUCAUGGAACUGAUCUAGAAAAUGGAAAAACAGAGAGCAGAAUCAAAGGAAGAUUUCCAAGAAAAUGUGAAAAAAAUAGCAAGAGUAAGCUAUUGGAGGAAGAAACGGGGAGCUUCAUGAUGGAGUAAUGGGAGGAAAACACGACGGUUUGGUGAGGCUUCAACUUGAAGCACUUCUAGAAGAGAAAUCAAGACCUGAAAAUGAGAAUUCAAACUUGAAUAGGGACAACAAGUACCUGCAUCAAACUAGUGGAGUACCCUCGCUCAACAGAUCCGAAAUAGCAUGGAAAUUAGACUGCCAAAUCUUCUUUCAGGACUCCAGGGCAAGUCCCAAGUAGUGCAGGAUGAACUUUCCAGGCUUGGCGAAUAGAUGGUUCAUAGUUCCGAAGGUAAAAGAGCUUUAGCUCGGGUACUUUGCCAUGAACUUCACGACAAGUUCCUCCAGCAUGGUCUGAACUCAGGGAUUGGACAAACGAAGACAUGCUAUUUAAGCUAUACAGUUCUAUAAGUGUUCAAAGCAUGGCAAGAAUAGAAGAGCUUCUCUAGGAGGACCAUAAUGUCAGGCGGAGGAAAGAGCGUAUCCAGAAUAGUGCUCUAUUCCUUCCAAGCUUACUACACAACUCUGUAUUUAUUAUAAUCUGGCAUCCGCUGCAUCCACCUAUUCUAAUGCAGAAAGUACAUCCAUCGCUGGCCCAUCUUCCCGGGAGGUCUGGAGAUGCUGCGUUUGAUGCUACUGCCAGCGGUCCAAACCCAUCAUAUAUGUGGAUUUUAGAUCAAAUGGCCAGUGAUCCUUUUCAAAAUGGUAAUAUAAACCCUGCCUGCCGACGAACACCCUUGCGCUUGCCACCUGCUCCUCCAUCAUCUGCCUCUGUUUAUACAUUCUAAGGUAGAUGGAAUUUUGACAAAUCAAUUCUUGCAAUUUUUGAGGGAUGUUUCAUAAGUUUCUCGAGCUCGCAUCGAGCUCUAAAUCUUCUCCUUGGUUUGGUCCUUCGAGGACCAAUGAAUAUUGACAUUUUUGUGUUAAGAUGUCCGGUUUAUAUUAUACUUCUGUUAGUUGUCUUUGCAGCUGCUGAAGUUCUUGUGUAUUGUUAGAACUCUCAUGGAAAAUAUAUUAUCGUGAAGGCUAUAUAUAUGUAAUUUCUUAAUUUAUUGGAAAUAAUAGUACAAUUUUUCUGACUUGAUUCUUAUCAUUUUCUUUGUAAAGAUGUUCAUGACAUCCUUAUAUCAAUAUAUUUUUGUUUUUCUA